CCCUGUCUCAGUGAGAUGAGGUCAGUGUUCCCCUGUCUCAGUGAGAUGAGGUCAGUGUUCCCCUGUCUCAGUGAGAUGAGGUCAGUGUUCCCCUGUCUCAGUAAGAUGAGGUCAGUGUUCCCCUGUCUCAGUAACAUGAGGUCAGUGUUCCCCUGUCUCAGUAAGAUGAGGUCAGUGUUCCCCUGUCUCAGUGAGAUGAGGUCAGUGUUCCCCUGUCUCAG